GAUAAUAUUUGAGGAAGGAAACGAACUCCUGCUUUUCUACAUCAUCACGAUGAGUGCGUCUCCUUCCAUUUAAGGAUGCGCUCCAGCUCCAGCACUUUGGCUGUUUCUGAAUAUCAGAUCGCUUCCGUCCUGCAGAGCAGCCUCCAGGUGUGAGUGAGACUCAGAGACAGCGUCUUAGAAGAGUGACUGCAGUGAAGAGAGCUAAAAUGAGAGCAAUAAGGCCUACUUUGAAUGGUGCCCAAAGCUGGAAGAGAAUCUCCAGCUGGCCAAGUCUACAAGGAAAGCAGCUCUUCCCUGACCCUUAUGAACUCUAGUGGCUCCAGUACUGCUGGAGUGGCAUGUGGCUGUGUGGAGCCUGUAACAAGCCUAGCAAGACCAUUGAAAAGGAAAACGUGUUUGGGAAACCAUAAAGCCCCUUGAGAAGAUGAUUGUUUUUGAAACAUGAUUCCUACUUGUUCCUGAGAUCUGGUUGAAACUAAAUUACCCAAGUAUUCAUCAUAAAGUGAUCACAGUACUUUGGUACUUGACAUGCAUUGAGAAUGUCUCACACUCUUAGCCAUAAAGUCAGGCAGUCCCAGCAGUAAUCCAUAUCAAGCCAAUUGAAAAGGAAGAGACAUCUAUGAUGCUGAGCCAGUGAGAAACCUGGAGUGCAGGUAAGUGGUGUGAAUGGGCAUUGACACUCCUUCCACAUUGUUCUUUCUUCCUAGACCUCGUGGAGGUGUUCCCAUGACUGGAACCUGGAGCACAGAUGGCUUUGCACCGUAUUCUGGCACCAGAUGGGGUGAGAGAACGUGUUGCUGCUCUUCAUGGUGUCCUUAAGGCAGCAGGAUUUGGUAGACAGCAGGCACCCUGCUGGAAGCCUGAAGGCCCUGGAUUAGAACCCAUGAUGAUACAAUGCCAAGGCUUGCACUCAGGCUUAUAGCCACCUGCAAGACAGUGUCUCAGUGUUCCUACUUUGAAGGAGUCCCCUUUAACUGGCCCCAUCAUAUCAUCCUUGGCAUCAAACUGGCUGUGUCAAAACAGCUUCAGCAACAGAUCAUACGCUCAAAAGGGAAGCAGUUUGCUACCCCAUUAAAACCUCCCUUGCUGA
rnacentral:lncRNA from 1 species